CGCGUAGGCGGCAAUUCAAGUCAUCUGUGAAAUCUCCGGGCUUAACUCGGAACGGUCAGAUGAUACUGCUUUGCUAGAGUGCGGAAGGGGCAAUCGGAAUUCUUGGUGUAGCGGUGAAAUGCGUAGAUAUCAAGAGGAACACCUGAGGUGAAGACGGGUUGCUGGGCCGACACUGACGCUGAUGCGCGAAAGCCAGGGGAGCAAACGGGAUUAGAUACCCCGGUAGUCCUGGCCCUAAACGAUGAAUACUUGGUGUCUGGAGUUUUUAGUGCUCCGGGUGCCGUCGCUAACGUUUUUAGUAUUCCGCCUGGGGAGUACGCUCGCAAGAGUGAA
rnacentral:rRNA from 1 species